AUUAGCAGUAGAUGAAUGACCCGUGCACGACCGGCGGAAGACUCGGCCGGCGCGCCGGGUAUAAACGUUUCCCUCUUUGCAAUGAGUACUCUUUAACUAGUAAUUUUGGAAAUCUAGAUGCUCUGUUGCUUUUUUUUUAGACAAGAUGCUCUGUUGCUGGGGCCGUAUUCCCGUCGAGGCCGCGAGGGGAUGCCCUUUCUCUUGCUCGGCCCAGAAGCCUGCCGCCAACGGCCCGAGCUGCUCCUCCCUCCUCCUCCUCCUCUCCGUCGGUUCUCCCCUCGCUCCCCAAAUUGCCCGGCGGAUCGUCGGAGGGUUCGACACACAGAGGCCCCGCUCCCCCUCCUCGCCACUUCGGCGCUGCCGGUUCCAGCGCUGGCCUCGCCGCUGCCUCCCCUUUCUCUCCCGCGCGCAGCCUCCAGGUACCCCGGUGGACCACUCCCAACUGGCUAGCUCUCGGUGCUAGCGUGCGCGCCGCCGCGGCUUCUGACUGUGUCCCAGAGGGGUGGGCGAAGCCGAUGCUCGCGCCGGGAGAUCCAAUGCCGCCAAGAUCGACUUCGAAGCGAACAUCGACCAGGUCCAGGUGCGGAUUAGCAGUUUCACAGUGUCAAAAUGGGGAGUGGUUCAGUCAAGCGGACAUUGGGGUUCUGAAUUUGGUGCGUCUGCUGUUGCAGAGGACAGACUUGGCUGAUGAGCAGCACAAGGGUGACAUUUGGUAGCUCUUCAGCGAGUUCAAUGCUGCUUGGUAUUGCCACAGAAACAGCACAACCAUCAAGUUUUUAUGUGUUGGUUCUGCGUAUAGAUGCACUAGCCAUUUCUGGAAGGAUUGGCAUGGCGAAAACAUCUGAUUCAAGAAAGAAAGUUGCCGAAAAUGGAAGCAUGAUAUAAAGUUCCUUCCGUGAUACUCAUCACAAGCCAGAUAAUGAACUGCUCUCAGAAUUGCGACUCUUUCUGAGUACACCGAUAGAGUAUGCUACCACUUUCUGCAAUGUACUUCCAGGCCAUCACUGUGUCUCUUAUUAGUCAAAUUAACCUUGGCGGGCAGAUGGCAAUCAUAUAUGAAUCUGCACCGGUACAGAUAAAUUUUCCAAGUGAUUGAUCCAGAAACACAAUGAAGGCACAAAGAAUACACCUGACCAAGCAGCCAAACCAAAAGGCAAACGAACAAGAAAAGCUAAAAGACUGUACACAAGCACUAGGCUACAACAGAAGCUCAUAUUAUGGAUCAACAUAAGCUUUCAGAUCAGUUGAUUGACACUUAUGUCGUAACUUAUGGCUCAGAGCUUUAAUUUACUUGUAACCAGGCAAUCUUUCAGUCAUGACUACUACAAUACAGCUUUGUCCGAGCACAUCAUCUCUACAUAUGGAGACAUGUCUCUUUCUCAAGCUCUCGACGACAUUAAUGACCGUUCGCAGUGGGAUUUGCGGGUGAAGGAUGCAGUGGCAAACGGUUUAUCAUGGGACGCUACGUGCUAUGGCAUACAUUGGGAAGCUUAUUCCUAUGGCAUACAUUCGGAAGCUUAUUCCUUUAUAUGGAAGCUCUGAGAUCACGAAAGUUCAUGACACACCAUCCCUCCAAAUUAAAAGAUGAAGUGGCAGAAGGAGCAGGAAGCAGAACAGUAAAACAGGGCAUGGGUGUAUACCUCUGCAUCCGUCUUGUAGAUAGGGGUUGCCCUCGUACCCCUUGGAGCAGUUGCACCGGUACCCAGCGCCAUCUUCGGAGUCGAUACAAUCGCUGAGCGUGCUCUGGCACGCAUAGUCAGUUGUGUUGCGCCUGGCGGCGCUGCAGUUGCCGACGUUCCGGACCGCCCAGUCGAGGAUGACGGGUACGGCGAAGUCUUUGGUCCAGUUGAGGUACUCGCUGUCACUGGUGUAUCUUGUACUUAACCACUUGGUCUCCACCAGGAACACAUACCGGCAGGUCGUUUUGUUGCUAUAGAAGGCUAUGUCUCUGUCUCGGUGCUCCUUGGUGAAGUCAAGCAAGAACGGCUCGUAGUAGUCGACAGCAGGGGGUAUCGCGCUCUGGCAGCAUGCCACGCCUGUGCAGGACCCCGGCGAGGUGAACUGCUGUGGCCGGCACACGGCCAUGCAGCCACUGACAUAGUAGCCAAGAACGUCGAUGAAGUAGCCGAGGCUGGAGCAGCCGAGCGUGACGAGCCGGUUCCUGGCCUGGGAGAAGAGGUAGUGGCUGCCAACAAGUGGCACGAACGUGGCGCCGCUCUGGCUGACGAGACGCCCCUUGCUGUCGUAGCAUCGACGUGUUGCCCUCAGGUGGGCCCGGGCCUCACUGGUGGCGACGGACAGGCCGGUGAUCCGGAUGCCAUAGCCUGUCACGGUGAGCCGCGGUGUUGAGCGGGAGUCAUUGCACUCGAGCUGGAAGCCACCUUGGCCGUCGUCGCGGAAGCAACCGGCGCCGAUGCCAAAGGGGUAAGGGAUGGUGAUGUUGCCGCACUUGUCGCGGCAGCCUGGCCGCACAACCUGCCACGGCGGCUGCUGCUGCUGCUGCUCCUGAGCCGAGGCUUGAGUCACUGGCAGUAGUAGCAGCAGCACGAGUGGCAUGGCCAGUGCGAUCGCCAUCCUUGCUCUUCUGGUCUGGUCAGGGGCUAGCUGCUGAGGAAGUGCAAAGUGUGUCAGGUACUGAAGAAUCGUGGAAGUCCAUAUAUGCGCACGGAUGCUGAAGAAUUUGUUCACUGGCUAGGACCGGGUCAAUUACCCAGCACUAGUUAAUGAUGUUUUCAUUAUGCUUUUCUAGAGUGCUUACAGCAACGACACCGACCGGAGCUUCGGCGUUAUGCUUUAUCAGAGUGCUGACAGCAAAGACACCUACCGGAGCUUUGGCGUUUAGUCAAUGGCAGAACUUGUUUAACCAGGCAGCCCUUGGCAGAGCCACACAUGUCGCCACAUGUCAGUACAAAGAGUUUCUGAUGAUUAUUCUGGAAUUUUGGCAUGUAUACCUACCCGAAAAGAAAACCUUUGGUCUGUUAAUGCUAGUGGAGCUUCAAUUCGUUAAUUGCACUGCCGGCAAUCAUUGGCUCUUUCAUUAUCUGUGCAAUUUAGUUGACCAGGAUACUACAGCCACCUAAUCCAAUCCAUCAUGUGGGACAUCACUGGAGACAGAAACUAGCAUCGCCGUCUAGUUUGUUGUGAGAAUAUUCUUCUGUUGGAACUGCAGGUCUAAAUAAUGCCGUACUGACCAGCGGCGAUCCUUUCUGCCUGAUAACCAGAGGCGAAGCAGUUUAGCCUAGCAUUGGUGGCCAAGCCCCCCAAGGCUGAACGGAUCAACCGGCGGAGGUUAUCUUGAUUUAUAGGCAUUCUCUGGUGGCUCUUCGAGCAAAUUCUGCAUCAUGCACACUUACAAAACUUGCAUCACCAUUUAUUUAUUUUUGUGUCGCAACAUUUUUGUCGUGGAAUCUUUAAUCCCUGCUUCAGUAUUUACAACUCUAAGCUGCUUAUACAGAGAGUGCAGGUCCAACUAAUUCCUACACUCACUUAACCUUUUGGUAAGAACAUUUUCUGCAUGCAUAAAUCCCAUGUUUCUUCUCACUGACCAGGAUAGGAAUAAUGAACAUGAACUCCUGCCUGAGAGCGACCAGAAAUAUUUCUGCCCCACUGAAGCUCUGAUGCCGUUGAGGGGUGCACACAGGCUCGACAACAGUCGCAGGUAUGAAAUGAUCUGGGCUUGAAACCGACGAAAUGGUGCUGGAUUUCCUUGGUUCUUUUGUUGUGUGUUACCAUCCUGUUAUGAGUUUAAUUAGGAUGGAAUUUAACAAGUGCAAACUUGCAGUUUCUUUUAGCACAACCUAAGCAGUGCGGGGCAAUCUCUCUUGAUCAAAACGAUGUCGAUCCUGUUCAAGUCUCCUUUGAUGUUUUCUGAAACUGCUAAUGUUUUCCCUUAUCAACAGUUGAUCACACCGACGCUUUCUCAAGAACUGAGCUAUUUCAAUCUGAGUAUGCUCGCUGUUUUCUCCCUUUAUUACAGCUGAUACUGCAACCUUACAGUUACUGAACGAAGGCAGACGAUGCUGCCUUACUUAUUGAACAAUAUAUAAAGCAUCGUUGAACACUCCCACACCUUUGAUGACAAACCUAGUGGUGGUCAAUGGCAUGACAUGCAUGCAUGCUCACCCUGUGAUGCGAUCUCUUCUCAGGGAGCGUUGGGAGGAAGGGGCAGGAGCUUGAAACCAGGCACGGCCGCGAUGAACUUGCCUUCCUCCCUGCUGGCGUCCCGGCGGCUUUCCUCGCCUGAUACAAUGUGUGUAAAAAGAAUCAACAUGAGCGCACAUUCAAGAAUAUCCGCAGCAGGGAACAUGACAAUAGGUAAAUUAGUUACCAAUGCUUUCCUCUGUUUGCUUCUCUUUCUGUAGUACCACCAGAAAAUUAUCAACACAAUGGUGCAGAGUCCCUUACCUUUUUGCACCCAAGAAAUGGCGCGGCGGCGGGCGGCGGAAGCAGCAGUAUCUGAUGGCUGCAUGCCACUGGGCGGCCCUCCCUUCAUGCCUUGCAUCCAGCCGAGGCUCCGCCGGGUGCGUGCGAGAGGCGGCGGAAUGGUGUGGCCAUGGACAAGA